GCACCCAUAGCUCAGUUGGAUAGAGUUACGGACUUCGAAUCCGGAGGUGGCAGGUUCGACCCCUGUUGGGUGCACCA
rnacentral:tRNA from 1 species